rnacentral:rRNA from 1 species
AGAGUUUGAUCAUGGCUCAGGACGAACGCUGGCGGCGUGCUUAACACAUGCAAGUCGAACGCGCUCCAUUCGGUGGCAACACUGAUGAAGAGCGAGUGGCGAACGGGUGAGUACCACGUGAGCAACCUGCCCCGAAGACUGGGACAACACCGGGAAACCGGUGCUAAUACCGGAUAUCCCUAUCGGAUCGCAUGAUCCUUUAAGGAAAUGUUUUUCGCUUCGGGAGGGGCUCGCGGCCUAUCAGCUUGUUGGUGGGGUAACGGCCCACCAAGGCAUCGACGGGUAGCUGGUCUGAGAGGACGAUCAGCCACACUGGGACUGAGACACGGCCCAGACUCCUACGGGAGGCAGCAGUGGGGAAUCUUGCGCAAUGGGCGAAAGCCUGACGCAGCAACGCCGCGUGGAGGACGAAGGCUUUCUGAGUUGUAAACUCCUUUCAGCAGGGACGAUAGUGACGGUACCUGCAGAAGAAGCACCGGCCAACUACGUGCCAGCAGCCGCGGUGAUACGUAGGGUGCAAGCGUUGUCCGGAUUUAUUGGGCGUAAAGAGCUCGUAGGCGGUUUGAUAAGUCGGGUGUGAAACCUCCAGGCUCAACCUGGAGCCGCCACUCGAUACUGUCAUGACUAGAAUUCGGUAGGGGACCACGGAAUUCCUGGUGUAGCGGUGAAAUGCGCAGAUAUCAGGAGGAACACCAGCAGCGAAGGCGGUGGUCUGGGCCGACAUUGACGCUGAGGAGCGAAAGCGUGGGGAGCGAACAGGAUUAGAUACCCUAGUAGUCC